UCCGUAGGUGAACCUGCGGAAGGAUCAUUAAUGAAUAUUAGGGUGCUACUCUUCAUCAGAGAGACCCGACCUUCAUUUCCAACACUGUGAACUUUAAACCUAGAGGACUUGCGCAAGCGAGAACUCUUCACUUUAAAACUCUACAAGUAAAAGAAUGUAAACAAACCAAAACAAAAAAAAACUUUCAACAACGGAUCUCUUGGCUCUCGCAUCGAUGAAGAACGCAGCGAAAUGUGAUAAGUAAUGUGAAUUGCAGAAUUCAGUGAAUCAUCGAAUCUUUGAACGCACCUUGCGCUCUCUGGUAUUCCGGAGAGCAUGCCUGUUUGAGUGUCAUGAACUCUUCAACCCACCAGUUCCUUGUGAACUGUCGUGGUGUUUGGAUUUUGAGCGUUGCUGGUCUAGCCUCUAGUGGGCCGAGACGAAGCUCGUUCGUAAUACAUUAGCAACUCAAUUUCGAGUAUUCGGAUUGACUCGGCGUAAUAGACUAUUCGCUGAGGACACUGGACUUGUUCUGGUGGCCGAAUUUCGAGGUAGAAGCUUCCAACUCCUUUUGAAGUCAAAUUCUUUAGAUUAGACCUCAGAUCAGGCAGGAUUACCCGCUGAACUUAAGCAUAUCAAUAAGCGGAGGA
rnacentral:rRNA from 1 species